rnacentral:misc_RNA from 1 species
GAUGAAGAACGUAGCGAAAUGCGAUACUUGGUGUGAAUUGCAGAAUCCCGUGAACCAUCGAGUCUUUGAACGCAAGUUGCGCCCGAAGCCAUUUGGUUGAGGGCACGUCUGCCUGGGCGUCACAUAUCGUUGCCCGAUGCUUAUUGCACUGUGAUAGGAAAUUCUAGGGCGAAAGAUGGCUUCCCGUGAGCGUUGUUGCCUCGCGGUUGGUUGAAAAUUGAGUCCUUGGUAGGGUGUGCCAUGAUAGAUGGUGGUCGAGUUUGCACGAGACCGAUCAUGUGUGCGCUCCCCAAAAUAUGGACUCUUUGACCCCACACGCGUCUUUUGACGCUCAUGACGAGACCUCAGGUCAGGCGGGGCUACCCGCUGAGUUUAAGCAUAUCAAUAAGCGGAGGA